UACGAAGGGGGCUAGCGUUGCUCGGAAUCACUGGGCGUAAAGCGCACGUAGGCGGCUUUCUAAGUCAGGGGUGAAAUCCUGGAGCUCAACUCCAGAACUGCCUUUGAUACUGGAGAGCUUGAGUCCGGAAGAGGUGAGUGGAACUCCGAGUGUAGAGGUGAAAUUCGUAGAUAUUCGGAAGAACACCAGUGGCGAAGGCGGCUCACCUGGUCCGGUACUGACGCUGAGGUGCGAAAGCGUGGGG
rnacentral:rRNA from 1 species